AGAUAUGUGCUUAAAAUUUGAAGAAAUUUGGCGGUAGUUUAGUCUUGUUAGAGGAACCUGUUUUAUUAAAUCGAUAAACCGCGUAAAAUCUUGCUUUUUUUUGUUGAGCAGCUUAUAUACCGUCAUUAGCGGAUAAUUUUAUGAGAAUUAAUUAUUAAGAUUUAUAAAAAUAAAUAAAAUUAGAUCAAGGUGUAGCCUAUAAAAAAGCUAAAAUGGGUUACAAUAAAAUUUGUUUAGAACGUAUUUAUGAAGUAAGGUUUAUAAUGAAGGAGGAUUUAAUUGUAAUUAUAAAUUAAUACC
rnacentral:rRNA from 1 species